rnacentral:rRNA from 1 species
AUGGCGCCAUCGUCCAACCUCGUCCUCCUGCUCCUUGCCAUGGCACUGACGGUCUCCACCGUUCACGGUUGCGGAUACAACUGCCCGCCCUGUCUCCGCCCCCGCCACCACAACCGUUGUACCCGCCGCCGUCACCGCCGCCGUCGCCACCGCCACCGCCACCGGCGUACCCCCCGCCGCCACCAUCACCGUCAACCUGCUAUGGCCCGUGCCCAAAUCUGCAAGUGUGCGUCAACGUGCUGCACCUGCCGAAUCUCAGUCUCGGGUUGUUUGCCAGUGAGUGCUGCCCGCUGCUCUACGGAUUGGUCGAGCUGCAAGUGGCCGCGUGCCUCUGCGACGUCCUCGGCGGUGUCCUCGGACUCCGCCUCGAC